rnacentral:lncRNA from 1 species
AGGGCAACUACAACUCGUAGAAAGCUUCACACACUCUUGAUCAAGACUGUUCGAAGCAAAUUUAAUUUAUAUGGUUUGUCCAAACCUUCGACUACUACAAGGUGUGGCUUGCAUCACAAUCUCUUGCUCAACAGUGUGAAAGCAAAAUUUGUAUAUGUUGUCUUUCCCACAUUUUCAAAUUUCUAGUUUCCCAAAAAAAAAAAAAAAAAGCUUCAUCAAUGGAGGACAACUACAAUUCUCAAAAGGUCAAGAUAGUGUGAAGCAAAAUCAAUUCAUGGUACCCAACAAAGCUUCACCUCAAAAGCUUCACCAACAAAAGCUUCAUCAAUGAAAGACAACUACAAAUUCUCAAAAGCUUCACACUAUCAUGAUUAAGAUAGUGUGA